rnacentral:misc_RNA from 1 species
UCUCCGUUGGUGAACCAGCGGAGGGAUCAUUACCGAGUUUACAACUCCCAAACCCCUGUGAACAUACCUUACUGUUGCCUCGGCGGAUCAGCCCGCUCCCGGUAAAACGGGACGGCCCGCCAGAGGACCCCUAAACUCUGUUUCUAUAUGUAACUUCUGAGUGGAUUAUACAAAUGAAUCAAAACUUUCAACAACGGAUCUCUUGGUUCUG